CCUACGGGGUGCAGCAGUGAGGAAUAUUGGUCAAUGGGCGAGAGCCUGAACCAGCCAAGUCGCGUGAGGGAGUACUGCCCUAUGGGUUGUAAACCUCUUUUGUCGGGGAGCAAAAGCCGGACGUGUCCGGCUGUGAGAGUACCCGAAGAAAAAGCAUCGGCUAACUCCGUGCCAGCAGCCGCGGUAAUACGGAGGAUGCGAGCGUUAUCCGGAUUUAUUGGGGUUAAAGGGUGCGCAGGCGGGUUUUUAAGUCAGCGGUCAAAUCGUGGGGCUCAACCCCGUCCAGCCGUUGAAACUGGGGAUCUAGAGUGUGCGAGAGGUAUGCGGAAUGCGUGGUGUAGCGGUGAAAUGCAUAGAUAUCACGCAGAACCCCGAUUGCGAAGGCAGCAUACCGGUGCACAACUGACGCUCAGGCACGAAAGCGUGGGUAUCGAACAGGAUUAGAUACCCUGGUAGUC
rnacentral:rRNA from 1 species